UACGGGGGGAGCAAGCGUUGUUCGGAUUUACUGGGCGUAAAGGGCGCGUAGGCGGUCAGCACAAGUCAGUUGUGAAAUCUCCGGGCUUAACUCGGAAAGGUCAACUGAUACUGUGCGACUAGAGUGCGGAAGGGGCAACUGGAAUUCUCGGUGUAGCGGUGAAAUGCGUAGAUAUUAGGAAGAACACCAGUGGCGAAGGCGGCUCACUGGUCCGGUACUGACGCUGAGGUGCGAAGCGUGGGGAGCAAACAGG
rnacentral:rRNA from 1 species